ACUUUUCUAGUAUAACUUAGUACAAAUGAUUUCCAAUCAUUUAGUCUUGGUUAGAAUCCAAGGAAAAGUA
rnacentral:tRNA from 1 species